rnacentral:rRNA from 1 species
UACGUAGGUGGCGAGCGUUAUCCGGAAUUAUUGGGCGUAAAGAGCGCGCAGGUGGUUGAUUAAGUCUGAUGUGAAAGCCCACGGCUUAACCGUGGAUGGUCAUUGGAAACUGGUCGACUUGAGUGCAGAAGAGGGAAGUGGAAUUCCAUGUGUAGCGGUGAAAUGCGUAGAGAUAUGGAGGAACACCAGUGGCGAAGGCGGCUUCCUGGUCUAACCCUGACGUUGAGGAGCGAAAGCCAGGGGAGCAAACAGGAUUAGAUACCCGCGUA